rnacentral:lncRNA from 1 species
GUUCACAAACCUGACAUCACUUCGGACUGUUUGUCUGAGACUGCAGAGAGUUCUGGAAAAAGGAGAUAACAA